rnacentral:lncRNA from 1 species
ACCUAGCUAAUAAAAUUAGUUUGUGGGGAAUAAAAUUCAUCAUAAGGCUAGCAACAUGCUUUUGCAUUCAUGCUGAGACAUAUUUUAUUUUGUGCUUUCAAAAUUCUUUUUGGAAAGGCUUUGGAAAAAGAAACAGAAAAGAAAUAAAAAAAAAACAACAGCCGAACCCCUGCAGCCCCGCUAGCGCGGCCCACCUGCGGCCAGGCAGCCCAGCGCGCGCCUCCUUCCCCCUCCCUGGCUGACGCGCGUGCCCCACAUGUCAGCAGCGCCUUCGUUCUUCUCCUCAGCGUGGACGAGCCGGUUUCGGCCGGGCGGUAAGCACGAUUUCUUACCAAAUCGGCUAAACGGCGCCUAUAUAAGCCCCUAGGUCAACCCCGCGUCCUGCGUGUGCAUUUUAAUCGCGAAACCAAGCUCCAGCCGCCCUAGACUUCGCGAAAUCGGACCUCGCCGGAGCAGCACGCUUUCCGCACGCCGCGAGCCGUUUUCGUCAUCUCUCGGACCCAACCAAGCGCUUAGAAGAGAUCGUGGUGAGCUCCUCUUCAUCCCGG